UGGGGUUUUCAAUUCUAACAGAAAUUCAGAUAUUACAUAUGAAUAAAAUAGUCUUGGCAACAAAUAUGGUAUGCCGUAAAAAGGAAAAGGCAAACCAAAAACCACACCAAACAGAAACAAAACAAAAAACAGCAUCAAAAUAAUCAAAUGAAAUAGAAUAAAGGUGGAGAGACAAACAGAUGUUGUUAUAGUAGUUACAAUGUAAAGAAAUCUUCAGGUUUACAUGACCUUUAACACUUAAUAUUCUUGUUUCUGAUGGCCUCGACCCCCUCCUUGGCUUUAUUGGUCUUUAUCAACCUUUCGUUUCAAAAAAUUCCACGAAGCUCCUCCAAAUAUUUUCAAAAACUGCCAGCUUUUCUUUUGUAAUAUAUGUUAGUUUAUCAAAAGCAACACAUGCUGAUAAAUUCUUAAUAUAUUGCCAAAUACUGGUUUGUUCACCUCUUUUCAUCCUAAAGCUAUUGCUGUCUAAGCUCAUGAUGUAUUUGUUUUCACUGCAAAACCUGACGCAUGAAAAGUCUACCCUGUGGAAAAUAUUUCUGUCUAUUUAUAGUUUUUUCUCACACCAGGAAUGAACACUUGGCUGCUUCGGUUGUCUGCAACAGUUGAAGAAAGCCAGCCUACAACUGUCUGUGCACUCCCCUCCGGUCUCACCCAUCCCCCAGUGUGUGUUACUUCCCUUUGAAGGAGAAAAGAAAAGGAGACUCGCUGUCAGUGGAAACGUGUUUUUACUGGGAGGGGCAAAUGCACGUUCUAAAUAUUGAAGGAUGUGUCCCCUGCACCACCCGUGAAAUCUACACCUAUGGUAAGAAAUUGAAGUUGUUUCUUGUUGUAACAACCACUUAAUUUUUUCAUUUUUAAAUGUUUGUUUUCAAUGGGAAAAUCUUUGUUUUAACUUGCAGUAACAAAACUAAACUCAAACAUUUGAAGAGUAAUUUGGCCAUUUAUUUGGUUUUGUUCUGUAAGGCAGGGACACUGAACGAUUUAGUGGCCAAAAUGGAAUUAAAUGUCAUUACUAGAUUGACUGUCCCAAAAAAAACUGAAUUAAUUUCAGACAUCCUUGCAAUGGCCAUGUACCAUGAAAUCUAGGGUUAGAAAUGUAAUUUGUUCCUCACUUUAAAAACUUCUUAAUUUUUCAAGUUUCAUCUUUAAGUUUAACAUUUUUUUUUGUUUUCAAUGGGAGAGUCACUGUUUUUCUAAGAGUGUCAACGGUAAUAACGCUCUGACCUCACUAAUAUCUCUGAGGGGCAAAAUCAAUAACAGUCUUGCAGUAACAUAACUAAACUCGGACAUCUGAACAGUAAUUUGGCUUUUUAUUUGGUUUGAUUUUGUUAGGCAGGAACAUUGACCGAUUCAGUGGCCAAAAUGGAAUUACAUGCCAUUACUAGAUUAAAUGUCCCAAAACCUCCCUAAAUUUAAUUCAGAGGUCCUAGCGAUGGACAUGUCUCUUUGUCCUUUAACUCUAUACACAGAGCAAUUAUCUAGGAAUCUGAUAUCAUAGUGGAUUUAUUAUGAGGCCUUGAGUUUGAUAUAUUUAAAAGUUUUCGGUAUAUCGUGAAACAAUUUAAGGGAUUAUGCUGACUUAGAUACACUAAAUUACUUAGUGUCAUAAUUAAAACAUAUCGGAUAAAAACAUGACAAUGUAAUCUGAGUCAAACUGUAAACUUGGCCCAGUUAAAAGCCACUAAGCAAAUUAAGCAUGAGGCGAAUUGUAGCCACCUAAAACCGCUGCUUUGCCUCUCUCUGAUACACAUGAAUAAACUUUGUGGAAGUGAAACAUGACACCAGCUGCGUGGACAGGAAGCACAACAGUCUUCAAAGAUACUGGAGAGGUAAUUGGGGGAGGGGUGCUCAUGUGGCAUUUACAGUCAAAUGCAGAGCUUACUGAGGUUUUAUCGUCAUUACCCUUUAAAAUACUUACAAGGUACUGCAUUU